AAUCCCGUGAACCAUCGAGUCUUUGAACGCAAGCCGCGCCCGAAGCCUUCGGGCCGCGGGGACGCCUGCGCGCGCGUCACGCNUCGCGCCGCCCCCUCCCCCCGUCGCUCCUCGGAGCGGGGGGGCGGAGACUGGCCUCCCGUGCGCUCCCGUCGCGCGGCUGGCCC
rnacentral:rRNA from 1 species